AAGCAAAAAACUCACCACCCAGAUGCCGAUAAACCGAAACAAAAUCCUCAAACCAUUAAAAUAAUCGAUCAUAAUUCUAUGAUCAAUUCAAACUCAUCAAAUGCACCCGGGAAGUAAAUUUCCGGGGAAGGGCGGAUUGCCUGCGUUGACACGCAGGUACAUGAAGUCAUGUACAGGUGCUGUAUACUGGACGCUUACUGGACCUGGUUAGGAUACAC
rnacentral:misc_RNA from 1 species